GCCCCAAACCAAUUGAUACACAAUAGAUCAAGAACUUCAGGGGUGCUUCUGUCAGUCUUUCUGAACUAAGCUUCGCUAUAAUAAAUUGAGCCUCCUGUGUCAAGGAGGUCUUGGUACAGCACGUGCCAAUAGCUAUGCACUGAACUGCUGGGUAUUUCAAACCUUGAUUUUAUUGAAGCUUGCAAAUAAUUAUGGUGAUUCAAUUCAAUCUUUUAGUUCCUAGAACCUUCCGGUGCACAAUUUUGGAAG
rnacentral:lncRNA from 1 species